AUUGAACGCUGGCGGCAUGCUUUACACAUGCAAGUCGAACGGUAACAGGCCGCAAGGUGCUGACGAGUGGCGAACGGGUGAGUAAUGCAUCGGAACGUGCCCAGUCGUGGGGGAUAACUACUCGAAAGAGUAGCUAAUACCGCAUACGAUCUACGGAUGAAAGCGGGGGACCGUAAGGCCUCGCGCGAUUGGAGCGGCCGAUGUCAGAUUAGGUAGUUGGUGGGGUAAAGGCUCACCAAGCCAACGAUCUGUAGCUGGUCUGAGAGGACGACCAGCCACACUGGGACUGAGACACGGCCCAGACUCCUACGGGAGGCAGCAGUGGGGAAUUUUGGACAAUGGGCGCAAGCCUGAUCCAGCAAUGCCGCGUGCAGGAAGAAGGCCUUCGGGUUGUAAACUGCUUUUGUACGGAACGAAACGGCUCUGGUUAAUACCCGGGGCUAAUGACGGUACCGUAAGAAUAAGCACCGGUUAACUACGUG
rnacentral:rRNA from 1 species